rnacentral:tmRNA from 1 species
GCACCGUUUAUGACUCCAGGCUGUUUGGGUCGAGUGGACUAAGUGUGAUUAUCUGGAAUUAGUUGUGGUUGAACGGCGCCUGUGUACUCAAAGGAUCCGCCCAUAGCUGAGUUGGGAGUAGAGACUCCAAUCAACUGGCUCAAGUAGACCUGCUUCGAUCCGUGCCAGUCCUAUAAGAACAGAAAACAUGGGGGAUGAAUUUUAUUAUCCUUCUCUGGAAAGCGUGGUCCACACCUUUUGUGUCAUAGAUACUAGGGAACAUAAUAGACCUCACCAGCUUUUACAGUGGAUGAAAUGUUUGCAACAGUGGCUGCUAGAUUGAAGGAUCUGAUAGAAUAUUCAUGUGACUGUGAGAACUGUGAAUUGUUGGCUGAAUCCCUGACAAAUUAUAAGUUUUCCCUGGUACCUAUAAAGAUCAGGCCACACACCGAUACCUGUGUCUCACUGAAAACACUCCAGCGGCUACGGACUGCCAUGUUAGGCAAUCCUGAAACCCUGAGUAUUUGGACCCUUGAUGACCUGGUGGAGGACCCAGUAGUCUUCAAAGGCUAUGAAAGCGCAAUUAGGAGAGAAUUUGCUGAGCAUGUCACAUGUUUGAACAUGUGCUGGGUUGUGAAGAUAAUCUUGGACUGCAUGUCUCAGCCAACAGCUCUGCUUCGGGAUUGUAUUCAGAAGGGUGCAAAGAAUAAUGGACUCCAGCUGGACACUUCGAGUACCUGGACGUGGCCAGCAGCACGUAUUGCUGAAAAGGAAGUCAUAGAACAUACCAUGAGUGUUUGUGUACAGGAUAUGACUAGAAGUCAUGAUCAGGAAUUCUACACAGAGGCCUUUAAGGAAGAUCUCCAUAUAGGAUUAAAGAGACUAGUUGCCAUGGUCCUUGGGCAGAAUCAUAGUUGGUUAGAUGGCUUUCUGACAGACACUAUAGUGACAGGUAAAGCAUAGCCUGGGGCAUAGUUCUUUGAUGAAUCAUCAUAAAUAUGAUGGCUAAUGUGGUCCUUUUGUGUAUUAAUGCAGAUAUGUUUAUGUAUCCAGGUGUGUUGCUUGAAAGGUAUUUUGCUGUACUAACCCAACACCACCUAUUUAUCAUGUUUGGAAGCCUAUUAAAAACUGUGCUAUUGACUCUGGCGUUUGUGUCUUUGUCUACUUGUGACUCAAAAAUUUUACCCAAGCAUUGUUGCCAUAUUUCUGCAACCCCUACUGAGAAAAAAUCCUGGAACUUCCUGUCCUCCAUAACUGAGAUAUAUCUUAGUAGUCCAUCUUCGUGUGGGAAUAUCAAUGUGGCCCAGGUGAAAGUGAAAACCAAGACAGGAUACCACUUAGAAUGUGCAAAUGGUUUUGGACUCAUGGGCUUUCUUGAAGCCGUGGUCAGCAGGUUUAGAGACCCCACCCCCGAUGACGUUGAGUUCCUUAAACAACUUAAAUUGUUGCACGAUCAGUUUGAUGAGGUAUUUUCAGCAAGCACUGCCAACAGCUCCUCCUUUAAGGUCGCCGCCUGGUAACCAUGGACACUUGGCUAAAAACGCAUGUGUGGUCCCUGAAUGUUAUGCAGAGAGACUCAGUAAUGGAUUUUCUACCUCAAUCCUGGAUAGACUACUUACAACUCUCCGCGUUUUCAUCCAAGAAGCUUGAGCAGAUUAUGGCUGCAGUAGAAAACAGAAGAAAACAAAAUAUUGUCUAUCCUGAUAGUGAGGAUGUGAUGCGCUGGGCAUUUUCCUGCCCUCCUGAAAAUGUUAGGGUUGUUAUUCUGGGACAGGAUCCCUAUCAUGGGGGCCAGGCCAAUGGUUUGGCCUUUAGUGUUCAUGAAAACUUUCCAGUCCCACCGAGCUUACACAACAUUUUCCAAGAACUUAAAAGGUCAGUGCCUGAUUUUCAAAUUCCCCCUUCUGGCUGUCUUGAUAAGUGGGCAGAACAGGGAGUUCUUCUGCUUAACUGCAUCCUGACUGUAGAUAAGGGACGGCCUGGUUCUCACCACAAACUUGGAUGGGGAUGGUUCACAGACUAUGUCAUUUCUACAAUCUCUGAAAAGAAUGAUAAGUGUGUUUUUAUGCUGUGGGGAAACAAGGCAAUAGAAAAGGAAGUUCUGAUCAAUGGCAGUAAGCAUCUUGUAUUAAAGGCGCAACAUCCUUCCCCCCUGGCAUCUCUUGGUGGCUACUCAUCAAAACAGGCCCCGUUUUUGGGCUGUAACCACUUUUCAAUUGCCAACACAUAUUUAACGCAGCACAACAAACCCUCAAUUUCUUGGAACUUAUAAUGGACCCCUUUAAGAAACCAGUGAGAAUGUUGCCCAUAAAGGGGGCCCCGAUCUCUCGACCAAUAAGUGUUUUUACAUUUGACGUGUUUAACCCCCCGGACGAUUCCGAUGGGUCAUCAACUCCAGACUCAGUGUUUGAGGCGGAGACCAGCCCAGCAAGAACUCCUCCAACUCCCGCCUUGAUUCUACCCUAUGAUUAUGUGAGCAGUGAAGACUCUGAUGAUGAAGCACAAGAACAUGCGGAUAACCGGGACACUAAUGACCAGGUCAGCGAGUCAAGUACAAGUGAGGACUCUGAUUCAGAGUCUGAAAGUUCAUGUGACGAUACCCAGCAGACUUUCGUGGACGAUGAGUCCACCAGCUCUUCUGGCGAGGAAGACAGAGAUGAUCCUUUUGAGUCAAAUGACCAGGGCGCGCAGGGCGGGUCGACCUCUGAGUCUGAGGAUGACCUCCCUGCAAUACUGAGGGCUGCACGCGAGACACAAAGUGACAGCUCUAGUGACAGUUCCGGCAACUCCCAUAAAAAAAGGCGAGUGCAGGAAGAAGAAAGUAGUCGCAUCUUGAAAACCCCAGCCCCCAUUUCUGGUAAUGGAAAAUAUAACUGGCCAUGGUUGGAUUGAAACUUUAUUCAAUAAAAAUUAAUAUACAAGUA